GACGUAGGGUGCGAGCGUUGUCCGGAAUUAUUGGGCGUAAAGAGCUCGUAGGCGGUCUGUCGCGUCGGUCGUGAAAACUUGGGGCUUAACCCUGAGCUUGCGGUCGAUACGGGCAUGACUGGAGUUCGGUAGGGGAGACUGGAAUUCCUGGUGUAGCGGUGAAAUGCGCAGAUAUCAGGAGGAACACCGGUGGCGAAGGCGGGUCUCUGGGCCGAUACUGACGCUGAGGAGCGAAAGCGUGGGGAGCAAACGGG
rnacentral:rRNA from 1 species